AUGAAUAAAAGCAUGAUUACUCAAAUUUGCAGUUAUUUCAGAUAAACCAAUUGUUGAAGACUCCCAAUAAUUAACAGUUUGAAGAAAUGAAAACAACCCAAAUCCACAAUAAUCAAGACAUACCUUUGAAACACUUUCAGCCAAGUGAGAAUACUCUUCAACCCUUAAUUCAUCAAUCUUUUCUGAUGAUUUAUACUUUGGGUACAUCUUCAAGAACUUUGAAAAAGCUUCAUCAAAGUCAGGAACAGAAUCUUGAACCUCAAAUGUCCUAUCAGCAGCAAGAGAUGUAGCUUUUAAGAACUCUUUCUGAGCCUGUAAUCUAGCAAGUGAUCUUGAUCUCCCCAAGCUCUUAUCUUGAAUAUCUAUGCUCUCUUCAGAAUCCAUGUUUUGGGAUUUGAUAAGACACCCAUCUUCAGAUGCUUGUUCAAGAGCUUCUUUGAGUAUAUCUUCUUGUAAUCUUCUAAGAACAGACCCAUCUUUCUUUCUGUUCUUUACUAAAAAAGAACAGUGGGAGAUGAUGGGUUUCCAGAGUGAAAUAUGCAUCAAGCUUGAAACUUUAAGAUGUUUUGAAUUAACUGAUGAUUGAUAGAGGAAAAAAAGAAAGAUGGGUAUUCUGUGUUUUUGUUUGU
rnacentral:lncRNA from 1 species